ACGGGGGGGGCGAGCGUUGUUCGGAAUUACUGGGCGUAAAGGGUUCGUAGGUGGCUCGCUAAGUCAGACGUGAAAUCCCUCAGCUCAACUGGGGAAUGGCGUCUGAGACUGGCAAGCUUGAGUGCAGGAGAGGAACGCGGAAUUCCAGGUGUAGCGGUGAAAUGCGUAGAUAUCUGGAGGAACACCGGUGGCGAAGGCGGCGUUCUGGACUGCAACUGACACUGAUGAACGAAAGCCAGGGGAGCAAACGGGA
rnacentral:rRNA from 1 species